AUCCUCCUGCCCUCCCAGCGCCCAGGAGGCUGAGCCUUGGCAAGAUGGCAGCUUUUGCCUAAAAUGCAUCAAAGUGAGCAGAAAGAGUGGUGAGCAAAGUAGAAUCUGCUUGUUUCCGAGGAUCAGCGAGAAGGCACAUGUGAAGCUCACCCCGGUUCUGUCUGUUUCUGCUCUCCUACGAAGACCCCAUAUGGAGCCAGUGACAACCGGGGCCCGUGGGGAAGGCAGGACGAGGACUGGGCCACGCUGCUCAGCACAGGGUCAGCUGGCUGGACUAGGGUGGGCUGGCCAGGCGCGGAGUGGGCUGGUCAGGCGUGGGCUGGGCUGGUCAGGCGUGGGGUGGGGUGGUCAGGCGUGGGGUGGGGUGGUGAGGUGAGGGAUUGUCUGGUCAGGUGUGGAGUGGGCUGGUCAGGUGUGGGCUGGGCUGGUCAGGUGUGAGGUGGGGUGGUGAGGUGAGGGGUUGUCUGGUCAGGUGUGGAGUGGGCUGGUCAGGUGUGGGCUGGGCUGGUCAGGUGUGGGGUCGGCUGGUCAGGUGUGGGCUGGGCUGGGCUGGUCAGGUGUGGGGUCGGCUGGUCAGGUGUGGGCUGGGCUGGUCAGGUGUGGGGUGGGCUGGUCAGGUGUGGGCUGGGCUGGUCAGGCAUGGGGCCGGCUG
rnacentral:lncRNA from 1 species